rnacentral:rRNA from 1 species
CCGGAUGCUUGUUUGAACCGCAUGGUUCAAACAUAAAAGGUGGCUUCGGCUACCACUUACAGAUGGACCCGCGGCGCAUUAGCUAGUUGGUGAGGUAACGGCUCACCAAGGCGACGAUGCGUAGCCGACCUGAGAGGGUGAUCGGCCACACUGGGACUGAGACACGGCCCAGACUCCUACGGGAGGCAGCAGUAGGGAAUCUUCCGCAAUGGACGAAAGUCUGACGGAGCAACGCCGCGUGAGUGAUGAAGGUUUUCGGAUCGUAAAGCUCUGUUGUUAGGGAAGAACAAGUGCCGUUCAAAUAGGGCGGCACCUUGACGGUACCUAACCAGAAAGCCACGGCUAACUACGUGCCAGCAGCCGCGGUAAUACGUAGGUGGCAAGCGUUGUCCGGAAUUAUUGGGCGUAAAGGGCUCGCAGGCGGUUUCUUAAGUCUGAUGUGAAAGCCCCCGGCUCAACCGGGGAGGGUCAUUGGAAACUGGGGAACUUGAGUGCAGAAGAGGAGAGUGGAAUUCCACGUGUAGCGGUGAAAUGCGUAUAGAUGUGGAGGAACACCAGUGGCGAAGGCGACUCUCUGGUCUGUAACUGACGCUGAGGAGCGAAAGCGUGGGGAGCGAACAGGAUUAGAUACCC